rnacentral:lncRNA from 1 species
GGAGGUACAAUUGUCUCAUUGAAUCUUCGGUUUCUCCAGUUGCUCCUUCAGUACUAAUACUGCCAGAUCACUGCUAUCUUGCCCAAACCACUUCGUGUUCCAAAACACUAAACACUUGCCCACUUAAAAUCCCAAAGGUCUUCAACACAAAAUCUGCGAAGCUAACUGGCGAUUCUGAGCAGUCUCUAAACCGUCUCUGAUAAUUGCAACUGAAUCACUGAUUUCUAAACCAACUCUGGACUUGCGAUUUUCUAAUCUCUGAUCUCAUCUCAACCAACUGAAGUUCUGCACACUUUGC